rnacentral:lncRNA from 1 species
CUCAAACAUUAGCCUCCAACCUAAGUAUGGGGAUAAGUGUAUUCUGUACCAUCAAGUAGACUGAACACUGUUAAGCAGCAAGAAAUGCAACAACAACAAGAGAUGCUAGGGCAGUUUGGAAUGGAAGAGCACAGAGAUAUAGUAUUAAUGAGUGUGCACAAAAACACUUGUGCAUGAAGGAGAUUUACAGAGUCGAUGCACAGAGAUAGUCCCACUCUCUCGGCGUGGGAAGCCUGGGUCCAGUGGCACGAAAAGUCAUUACACCUGGAGACUUCCUCAGCUGCAUUGGAUGGCCGUGUUGUCCUUUGUGUUCCAACACGCCCUGAGCAUUCCACAGUGCUUUGCUGCGUCGACAUCUCAGCCGUUGAACCUUCUUAUUGGUUUCUUCUGUCUGUUCAGCCGAAGCAGUCUUCACAUGCUGGGACCAAACCAAUCCACUAA